rnacentral:misc_RNA from 1 species
AUGAAGAACGCAGCGAAAUGCGAUAAGUAAUGUGAAUUGCAGAAUUCAGUGAAUCAUCGAAUCUUUGAACGCACAUUGCGCCCCUUGGUAUUCCGAGGGGCAUGCCUGUUCGAGCGUCAUUAUAACCCCUCAAGCUCAGCUUGGUGUUGGGGCCUGCCGCACGGGCAGCCCUUAAAAUCAGUGGCGGUGCCAUCUGGCUCUAAGCGUAGUAAUUCUUCUCGCUAUAGAGUCCCGGUGGAUGCUUGCCAUUAACCCCCAAUUUUCUAUGGUUGACCUCGGAUCAGGUAGGGAUACCCGCUGAACUUAAGCAUAUCAAUAAGCGGAGGA